CUGCCUGAUGGAGGGGGAUAACUACUGGAAACGGUGGCUAAUACCGCAUAACGUCGCAAGACCAAAGAGGGGGACCUUCGGGCCUCUUGCCAUCAGAUGUGCCCAGAUGGGAUUAGCUUGUUGGUGAGGUAACGGCUCACCAAGGCGACGAUCCCUAGCUGGUCUGAGAGGAUGACCAGCCACACUGGAACUGAGACACGGUCCAGACUCCUACGGGAGGCAGCAGUGGGGAAUAUUGCACAAUGGGCGCAAGCCUGAUGCAGCCAUGCCGCGUGUAUGAAGAAGGCCUUCGGGUUGUAAAGUACUUUCAGCGGGGAGGAAGGUGUUGUGGUUAAUAACCGCAGCAAUUGACGUUACCCGCAGAAGAAGCACCGGCUAACUCCGUGCCAGCAGCCGCGGUAAUACGGAGGGUGCAAGCGUUAAUCGGAAUUACUGGGCGUAAAGCGCACGCAGGCGGUCUGUCAAGUCGGAUGUGAAAUCCCCGGGCUCAACCUGGGAACUGCAUUCGAAACUGGCAGGCUUGAGUCUUGUAGAGGGGGGUAGAAUUCCAGGUGUAGCGGUGAAAUGCGUAGAGAUCUGGAGGAAUACCGGUGGCGAAGGCGGCCCCCUGGACAAAGACUGACGCUCAGGUGCGAAAGCGUGGGGAGCAAACAGGAUUAGAUACCCUGGUAGUCCACGCCGUAAACGAUGUCUACUUGGAGGUUGUGCCCUUGAGGCGUGGCUUCCGGAGCUAACGCGUUAAGUAGACCGCCUGGGGAGUACGGCCGCAAGGUUAAAACUCAAAUGAAUUGACGGGGGCCCGCACAAGCGGUGGAGCAUGUGGUUUAAUUCGAUGCAACGCGAAGAACCUUACCUGGUCUUGACAUCCACAGAAGAAUCCAGAGAUGGAUUUGUGCCUUCGGGAACUGUGAGACAGGUGCUGCAUGGCUGUCGUCAGCUCGUGUUGUGAAAUGUUGGGUUAAGUCCCGCAACGAGCGCAACCCUUAUCCUUUGUUGCCAGCGGUUAGGCCGGGAACUCAAAGGAGACUGCCAGUGAUAAACUGGAGGAAGGUGGGGAUGACGUCAAGUCAUCAUGGCCCUUACGACCAGGGCUACACACGUGCUACAAUGGCGCAUACAAAGAGAAGCGACCUCGCGAGAGCAAGCGGACCUCAUAAAGUGCGUCGUAGUCCGGAUUGGAGUCUGCAACUCGACUCCAUGAAGUCGGAAUCGCUAGUAAUCGUGGAUCAGAAUGCCACGGUGAAUACGUUCCCGGGCCUUGUACACACCGCCCGUCACACCAUGGGAGUGGGUUGCAAAAGAAGUAGGUAGCUUAACCUUCGGGAGGGCGCUUACCACUUUGUGAUUCAUGACUGGGGUGAAGUCGUAACAAGGUAACCGUAGGGGAACCUGCGGUUGGAUCACCUCCUUACCUUAAAGAA
rnacentral:rRNA from 1 species